GCACAAGCAGUGGAGUAUGUGGUUUAAUUCGACGCAACGCGAAGAACCUUACCAAGUCUUGACAUCCCUUGAUGAUGCUGGAAACAGUAUUUCUCUUCGGAGCAAGGAGACAGGUGGUGCAUGGUUGUCGUCAGCUCGUGUCGUGAGAUGUUGGGUUAAGUCCCGCAACGAGCGCAACCCCUAUCAUUAGUUGCUACGCAAGAGCACUCUAAUGAGACUGCCGUUGACAAAACGGAGGAAG
rnacentral:rRNA from 1 species